GGGACCAUCCUCCAAGGCUAAAUACUCCUGACUGACCGAUAGUGAACCAGUACCGUGAGGGAAAGGCGAAAAGAACCCCGGCGAGGGGAGUGAAAAAGAACCUGAAACCGUGUACGUACAAGCAGUGGGAGCACGCUUAGGCGUGUGACUGCGUACCUUUUGUAUAAUGGGUCAGCGACUUAUAUUCUGUAGCAAGGUUAACCGAAUAGGGGAGCCGAAGGGAAACCGAGUCUUAACUGGGCGUUAAGUUGCAGGGUAUAGACCCGAAACCCGGUGAUCUAGCCAUGGGCAGGUUGAAGGUUGGGUAACACUAACUGGAGGACCGAACCGACUAAUGUUGAAAAAUUAGCGGAUGACUUGUGGCUGGGGGUGAAAGGCCAAUCAAACCGGGAGAUAGCUGGUUCUCCCCGAAAGCUAUUUAGGUAGCGCCUCGUGAAUUCAUCUCCGGGGGUAGAGCACUGUUUCGGCAAGGGGGUCAUCCCGACUUACCAACCCGAUGCAAACUGCGAAUACCGGAGAAUGUUAUCACGGGAGACACACGGCGGGUGCUAACGUCCGUCGUGAAGAGGGAAACAACCCAGACCGCCAGCUAAGGUCCCAAAGUCAUGGUUAAGUGGGAAACGAUGUGGGAAGGCCCAGACAGCCAGGAUGUUGGCUUAGAAGCAGCCAUCAUUUAAAGAAAGCGUAAUAGCUCACUGGUCGAGUCGGCCUGCGCGGAAGAUGUAACGGGGCUAAACCAUGCACCGAAGCUGCGGCAGCGACGCUUAUGCGUUGUUGGGUAGGGGAGCGUUCUGUAAGCCUGCGAAGGUGUGCUGUGAGGCAUGCUGGAGGUAUCAGAAGUGCGAAUGCUGACAUAAGUAACGAUAAAGCGGGUGAAAAGCCCGCUCGCCGGAAGACCAAGGGUUCCUGUCCAACGUUAAUCGGGGCAGGGUGAGUCGACCCCUAAGGCGAGGCCGAAAGGCGUAGUCGAUGGGAAACAGGUUAAUAUUCCUGUACUUGGUGUUACUGCGAAGGGGGGACGGAGAAGGCUAUGUUGGCCGGGCGACGGUUGUCCCGGUUUAAGCGUGUAGGCUGGUUUUCCAGGCAAAUCCGGAAAAUCAAGGCUGAGGCGUGAUGACGAGGCACUACGGUGCUGAAGCAACAAAUGCCCUGCUUCCAGGAAAAGCCUCUAAGCAUCAGGUAACAU
rnacentral:rRNA from 1 species